rnacentral:rRNA from 1 species
GGGAUUGCCCUAGUAACGGCGAGUGAGGCGGCAACAGCUCAAAUUUGAAAUCUGGCCCUUGGGUCCGAAUUGUAAUUUGCAGAGGAUGCUUUUGGUGCGGUGCCUUCCGAGUUCCCUGGAACGGGACGCCAUAGAGGGUGAGAGCCCCGUCCGGUUGGAUACCUAGCCUCUGUAAAGCUCCUUCGACGAGUCGAGUAGUUUGGGAAUGCUGCUCUAAAUGGGAGGUAUAUGUCUUCUAAAGCUAAAUACCGGCCAGAGACCGAUAGCGCACAAGUAGAGUGAUCGAAAGAUGAAAAGCACUUUGAAAAGAGGGUUAAACAGUACGUGAAAUUGUUAAAAGGGAAGCAUUUGUGACCAGACUUGGGCUCGGUUAAUCAUCCAGCGUUCUCGCUGGUGCACUUUGCCGGCCCAGGCCAGCAUCAGUUCGCCGCGGGGGAUAAAGGUUUCGGGAACGUGGCUCCUCCGGGAGUGUUAUAGCCCGUUGCGUAAUACCCUGUAGUGGACUGAGGUUCGCGCUCUGCAAGGAUGCUGGCGUAAUGGUCAUCAAUGA